CCUACGGGAGGCAGCAGUGGGGAAUAUUGGGCAAUGGGCGCAAGCCUGACCCAGCAACGCCGCGUGAAGGAAGAAGGCUUUCGGGUUGUAAACUUCUUUUCUCAGGGACGAAGAAAGUGACGGUACCUGAGGAAUAAGCCACGGCUAACUACGUGCCAGCAGCCGCGGUAAUACGGAGGUUGCAAGCGUUAUCCGGAUUUACUGGGUGUAAAGGGCGUGUAGGCGGGAAAGCAAGUCAGAUGUGAAAACCAUGGGCUCAACCUGUGGCCUGCAUUUGAAACUGUUUUUCUUGAGUACUGGAGAGGCAGACGGAAUUCCUCGUGUAGCGGUGAAAUGCGUAGAUAUGAGGAGGAACACCAGUGGCGAAGGCGGUCUGCUGGACAGCAACUGACGCUGAGGCGCGAAAGCGUGGGGAGCAAACAGGAUUAGAUACCCGGGUAGUC
rnacentral:rRNA from 1 species